UCUUGGUUCAGGACGAACGCUGGCGGCGUGCCUAAUACAUGCAAGUCGAACGGUCUUUCUAUGGAAGCUUGCUUCCACUGAGAAGAUAGUGGCGAACGGGUGAGUAACACGUGGGUAACCUGCCCAUAAGAGGGGGAUAACAUCCGGAAACGGGUGCUAAUACCGCAUAGUUUUCUUGAUCGCAUGAUUGAGAAAGGAAAGACGGCCUUUGUGCUGUCGCUUAUGGAUGGACCCGCGGCGUAUUAGUUAGUUGGUGAGGUAACGGCUCACCAAGACGAUGAUACGUAGCCGACCUGAGAGGGUGAUCGGCCACAUUGGGACUGAGACACGGCCCAAACUCCUACGGGAGGCAGCAGUAGGGAAUCUUCCGCAAUGGACGAAAGUCUGACGGAGCAACGCCGCGUGAGUGAAGAAAGGUUUUCGGAUCAUAAAACUCUGUUGUCAGAGAAGAACAAGUUGGAGAGUAACUGCUCCAGCCUUGACGGUAUCUGACCAGAAAGCCACGGCUAACUACGUGCCAGCCGCGGC
rnacentral:rRNA from 1 species